rnacentral:rRNA from 1 species
UACAUGUGGGGCAAGCGUUGUUCGGAAUUACUGGGCAUAAAGGGUGCGUAGGCGGCUUGCCAAGUCACUGGUGAAAGUUUUCGGCCCAACCGGAAAAUUGCCUGUGAUACUGGCGAACUUGAGUGCGUGAGGGGUGGGGGGAACGAGCAGUGUAGCGGUGAAAUGCGUAGAUAUUGCUCGGAAGGCCGGAGCCGAAGGGGCCCCACUGGUACGCAACUGACGCUGAAGCACGAAAGCGUGGGGAGCAAACAGG